rnacentral:lncRNA from 1 species
AAGACUGCAACCUGUGUGCGAUUCAUGCAAAACGUGUAACCAUAAUGCCUAAAGAUCUCCAGCUUGCUCGGCGAAUUCGAGGUCCCAUAUAUGGUGUCUCGGCCUAUUAGCAUUAGGUGCAAGUUAAUACCAAUAGAUUUUGCAGGAAUCAAUGCGGCGAACUUGCUCUCCUUGUUUUUAGGAAGCGUUCCAAGCAGAAAGAGCACGGACAUUCAAACGCCAUUGCACAACAAGAGCGUUGUUGAUCAUUACGGGACAUACAUGCACGCAUGUCUGUGUACUAAUAUGGUCUUUCUAAUACCUUUUCCACAGCGAUGGAUGUGACAUUCCGUUACUGUAUGCCCUGUUUGCCCUUGAUGCAUAUUGUGUUGUUCAUGCAAGAUUUCAGGACGGACGCAGGCAGUCUAGUCGCGUAGCGAGCAACGGCCACUAGCUAGGCCGAUACUACGGAAAAAAAAACUUGCAAAACUUGCAACCCGUUAAAAGUUUCGGAGCCUUGUUUUUAUGAGCUUUUUAGCGGGAUUUUUUGAAACUGAUCAUGAUGGUAUCUGAAUCUAUUUAUUAUUGCCCUUUAUUUGUGUAUUAUUCUGAAUUUCAUUAGGGUGGGAUACGUUUUUAUGCAUAACGAUUU